rnacentral:ncRNA from 2 species
AUUCGUUCUCAGGGCGGGGUGUAACUCCCCACCGGCGGUAAGGCGGCAACGCCAAGCCCGCGAGCGCCUUCGGACUCAGGUCCGUGGGGUCAGCAGAUCCGGUGUAACUCCGGAGCCGACGGUCAUAGUCCGGAUGAGAGAGAACGGGU